CCCAAGGAUUGAUUUUGAUGGAUAACAAAAUAUUUGAGCAUAUAGUAGAACUAAUGGUUUUAUAAAGUUAAUAUUUUAAAAAAAUUCUAAAUGAUCAAAAGAAUGGAUCUAAAUACUUAAAUAAAACUAAAACAAGAAGUUUUUGAAAGCCUUCAUAUAGUGAAAGACUAUGAAAAUCAAGGUGGAAGAGAUCCUUAAAAGUUGAGAUCAAAAAGUCACUCAUGCAGA
rnacentral:lncRNA from 1 species